AGCAGUGGGGAAUAUUGGACAAUGGGCGAAAGCCUGAUCCAGCCAUGCCGCGUGUGUGAAGAAGGUCUUCGGAUUGUAAAGCACUUUAAGUUGGGAGGAAGGGCAGUAAAUUAAUACUUUGCUGUUUUGACGUUACCGACAGAAUAAGCACCGGCUAACUCUGUGCCAACAGCCGCGGUAAUACAGAGGGUGCAAGCGUUAAUCGGAAUUACUGGGCGUAAAGCGCGCGUAGGUGGUUCGUUAAGUUGGAUGUGAAAUCCCCGGGCUCAACCUGGGAACUGCAUUCAAAACUGACGAGCUAGAGUAUGGUAGAGGGUGGUGGAAUUUCCUGUGUAGCGGUGAAAUGCGUAGAUAUAGGAAGGAACACCAGUGGCGAAGGCGACCACCUGGACUGAUACUGACACUGAGG
rnacentral:rRNA from 1 species